ensembl:lncRNA
AUCUUCAGCUGGAGAUCCUUUCUCUUGGAGCUCUUCUGUGAGCCCUGGAUGUGGGAAAAGAAGAAAUAGAUCCUGCUGCAGGACUACCCAAAUUAUCACUCCUCAAGAACUCCUUCUGAGAAGCAAAGGAUGUUCCUUAUCUCCUAUGUUAUAGGAGAACAAGGCUUUGUGCCAAUUUCUGCACCAGACAUCACAGACUGUUAUGAACCAUCUGGAGAGGACAGGUAGCAUCAAUAACUUGGCAAGCAGUGUGGGCUGAGGAGGCAGAGCACCUCUCCACAGCUCUGGGCACUGACAGCCAUGGUGUGAUGCCAGACAAGCAUAACAUGUGCAAGAGAUUGUCACCUCAGAGGAUGCAGCAUCCUCUUUUUCUCCCGUAGUCCUCUGUUCCCUCUCACUAUCUGCUUCUAACAGCUCUGACUGUUGCUGUUUAACACCCUAUCCUAGUAAAGUCCAACUCUGCAGGCAAGAGAAGAAAUCCUGAACUUCCUCUCAAGUAAACCAUAGACAGUCUUACCUGCCUCCCCAUUACUGCUCUGAUGUAGAUAUCAGUAGACAGAAUCAGUGCCACCCAAUUCAGAUUUUGGCAUGAUGAUCAGUGGAGUUGAAAUAUGCUUUGUCAUUUGUUAUUUGAUUGUUUCUAUAUGGAAAUAGUUUACAUAUUACAUGAACCAGGUAACCGUUACAUAAACUGUUAUGUUAAUGGAUUGAUAUCCAGAGCAAACUGCCUGGCAGAUGUUGUCUCUCUGUACUUGGGAGAGACACAAAGCUCUACCUGACCAAGAAAUUACUUCCAAUGGUACUUCAGGCUGUGGUAGGCUGGAGAAGCUGAAACAACACAAAAACUCACUAAUUUAUAACUUCUGUAAGAUGUGUAAUUCUAAAGAACUUCUUAUUCUGUAUUUAAAGGGAUCAGAAAAUGUCAUCCAUGGCAAUGUCAUGCUACUGUAGUCAGUAUGUUUCUGACUUUGUUACAUUGUAGAGUGAAAGAUCUUAACUUACAUUAAUUUAGAAGAAGAAAAAAGGAAACUGCCAUACUUCUCCUUUCUCAGCUUGUCUGUUUAAGGAGUCAGAAGCAUCCAGCACACAAUCAAUUCUUAGUGAAUACUGAAGGAGUGGCUCCAGAACUGUGCUCAUUGAUGUUGCCACAUCUGAAUCACCGCUCAUUUACCAAAUGUGGAAUAUUUUUAACAUACAAAGAGGCAAAUAAGACAUUAUUCCAAAUAUGUGUCCAGAAAAGUGCAAAAAGACAAAAAAACCAGACAAAAACACAAGACAUGGCAAUAUUAAUAAUAUUGCUUAAUGCAUUCCUAUGAGGAGUUUAGUUAUGAUAGAGCUCAAUGUGACACAACUACUUGAAUAAAUUGUAGCUUGAAGAUUAAAU